UCCCUGGUGGUCCAAUGGCUAAGACACUGCAUUUCCAAUGCAAGGGACCCCGGUUCCAUCCCUGGUCAGGGAA
rnacentral:tRNA from 1 species